UAAAGAAUAGCUCUUUUCAAGAAACUUACAGCUUUCUCUUGGUCUGGUACCAGAACACCCCUUGUCUGCACAAGUGAAUUUGGGUUUGGUUGCAGCCAACAUACCACCCCAGAUCAAAGGAUCCCCUCUCUCCCUCCCAGAUCAAGACAUACCAGUCCAAAAUGGCGGAGAUAGAAGACAUAUUUGAGGGAGUUGAAGAAGCCAUUGACGGAGCUGAAGAUGACAUUGAAGACCUAUCAGAAGAAACACAAGAGGAAAUAAAAGCAGAAGUAGCUGAAGCACAAGCAGAGGUUGAAGAGUUUUCCAAAGUUAGCGAGACCUUAAAAACCUUGCUUCAAUACGUCACAACAAGUAUACCAAAAAUAGUAGGAUUUGUUGUGAAAAAUUUAGCUAUCGGUGCUAUCUUGUGGGGUGUAAAUGUUAUUCUUAACAAAUCGCUUCCCCAUAAACACCAAUCCAAGGAUUUACAGAGAAAGCGUGCUGUGAUUAAGGCAUUAACCGCAGUCAUUAAAAAUGAAACAGGCCUCAGUGAAAAGCUCCUAAAGUGGAUGACGGACCACAAAGAUGAUAUGAUUCAACUGGAAGAAUUUGAAGUACCAAUGGAAUCA